CGACCCCAGGUCAGGCGGAGUUACCCGCUGAAUUUAAGCA
rnacentral:rRNA from 1 species